AGAACUUAGCAGAGAUGCUUUGGUGCCUUUCGGGAACUCUGAGACAGGUGCUGCAUGGCUGUCGUCAGCUCGUGUUGUGAAAUGUUGGGUUAAGUCCCGCAACGAGCGCAACCCUUAUCCUUUGUUGCCAGCGGUUAGGCCGGAACUCAAAGGAGACUGCCAGUGAUAAACUGGAGGAAGGUGGGGAUGACGUCAAGUCAUCAUGGCCCUUACGAGUAGGGCUACACACGUGCUACAAUGGCGCAUACAAAGAGAAGCGACCUCGCGAGAGCAAGCGGACCUCAUAAAGUGCGUCGUAGUCCGGAUUGGAGUCUGCAACUCGACUCCAUGAAGUCGGAAUCGCUAGUAAUCGUGGAUCAGAAUGCCACGGUGAAUACGUUCCCGGGCCUUGUACACACCGCCCGUCACACCAUGGGAGUGGGUUGCAAAAGAAGUAGGUAGCUUAACCUUCGGGAGGGCGCUUACCACUUUGUGAUUCAUGACUGGGGUGAAGUCGUAACAAGGUAAGCGUAGUGCU
rnacentral:rRNA from 1 species